rnacentral:lncRNA from 1 species
CUGACAAGAUCAGGGAGAUCGGCCCUGCCAGGAUAUCUUGAGGAGAGAACUUAGCAAGCCCAGUGAGGUGGCUGUCGCAGGGAAGCAGUGUUCCCACCUGUCCCCCAUGUGGCCAGGCCACCAAGGCCCCUUAGAGAGCACUGCCCACUAGUGUGCCUGAAAUGGGCUAUAGAUCCUCUCCUCCCCCAAGCAGGCACCAGGUCCCAGGGCGACCAAUGCCAGCAAGGCCCUGCCAGCCUCAGUCAGCCUGGUCCAUGUGCCCCAGGGGGUUGCCCAUGUAGUCUGUGUGGCAUCAUGUGAACAAGUUGGGAAGUACUGGCCUCAGAGGACUGUUUGCUGACCUCUGACCUCAGGGCAAGAGGUCAAAGGAGCAGGAAUCUUACAAAAUGGGUACAAGGGCACCUCGUGGGCCACCCAGGAACCAGGCCACACCAAAGGCUGCACUGAAAGUACACAGCCAUGCAAGGGGACUGGCAGCUCUCUCCCAAGAGAAAAAUCACCUGCUAGCACCAAGCUGCCAUCAGAGCAGAGGCUCAGCCAUGAAACUAAGCCAACAGAG